GGCGUAAGCGCGCGCAGGCGGUCUGUCUAGUCUGAUGUGAAAUCCCCGGGCUCAACCUGGGAGCUGCAUUCGAAACUGGGAGGACUUGAGUCGUUGUAGAGGGGGGUAGAAUUCCACGUGUAGCGGUGAAAUGCGUAGAGAUCUGGAGGAAUACCGGUGGCGAAGGCGGCCCCCUGGACUGUGACUGACGCUCAGGUGCGAAAGCGUGGGGAGCAAACAGGAUUAGAUACCCUGGUAGUCCACGCCGUAAACGAUGUCUACUUGGAGGUUGAGCCCUUGAGGCCUGUCUUCCUGAGCUUACGCGUUUAAUCGACCGCCUGGGGAAUACCGGCGCCAGGGUUAAACUCCAAUGAAUUGGCGGGGGCCCGCCCCAGCGGUGGAACAUGGGGUUUAAUUCCAUGCCACCCGAAAAACCUUACCUACGCCUGGCCUCCAGAGGACUUUCCUAAAAUGGAUUGGUGCCUUCUGGAACUAUGAAAC
rnacentral:rRNA from 1 species